rnacentral:rRNA from 1 species
GACGAACGCUGGCGGCGUGCUUAACACAUGCAAGUCGAACGGAAAGGCCCUGCUUUUGUGGGGUGCUCGAGUGGCGAACGGGUGAGUAACACGUGAGUAACCUGCCCUUGACUUUGGGAUAACUUCAGGAAACUGGGGCUAAUACCGGAUAGGAGCUCCUGCUGCAUGGUGGGGGUUGGAAAGUUUCGGCGGUUGGGGAUGGACUCGCGGCUUAUCAGCUUGUUGGUGGGGUAGUGGCUUACCAAGGCUUUGACGGGUAGCCGGCCUGAGAGGGUGACCGGCGACAAGGGGACUGAGAGACGGACCAGACUCCUACGGGAGGCAGCAGUGGGGAAUAUUGCACAAUGGGCGGAAGCCUGAUGCAGAAACGCCGCGUGCGGGAUGACGGCCUUCGGGUUGUAAACCGCUUUCGCCUGUGACGAAGCGUGAGUGACGGUAAUGGGUAAAGAAGCACCGGCUAACUACGUG